GUAGGUGAACCUGCGGAAGGAUCAUUAACAAAACAGCUGGGUGGGGCCAGUGGGCGCAAGCCUGCCGGCCACACUCGACAUUCUACCUUGUGAAUUGUGAACAACACUGCGAGUGCCCGCGGGCGACUGGUCUAGUCUGUCUGCGGGAACAACGCCGCCUUUACACAUUGAUAUCAAAUUGCAAACUAUCACUCAUGAUAGCUAACAAAUACAACUUUUAACAAUGGAUCUCUUGGUUCCU
rnacentral:misc_RNA from 1 species